AAAGCAGAUAACUGGAGGGAUAAACAAUAUAAGAGCAGAAUUCAAAAUUUUAUUUAAAAGUCAAUAAUAUCUGGGACGGCAGCUAAAAAUAAUGUUAGAAAAAACGUUCAAGCUUCUCCAAAGAAGACUUCACUGUCACUGCUUACCACCACUCUUCCUGGGGUAGUAUGUUCAGUUUCAUUUUCUUUGUAUCCCUGAAGCAGGUAAAAUGGUGUGAUUUGUAUAGCAGCCAUGUUAAGAAGGCCAUUUAAUUGGGCAGUUAGGGUCUGGGAAAGCCCUCAGUGGAGCUGUUGAGGAUCUUUCCACUGCUUCAGCCGCUGUUGGCUCACACCUAGAGGAGCUGCUUUUACAAGGGAAGGAAGCUAUAACCUUCAAAGCAACUUAAGCUCUGCUGAGAACAACAGGAUUUGGGCACCUAACCUCUUCGGACAUCCCAUAAAUCAGCGUGAGUUCAUCAUCAGUAAAAAUCCACUGCAGACAGAGAACCGGUUGUCUUUCCCCAAGACACAGUAGCAUCAUUUCUGUGAGUUGAUGUUGGCUGGCAAUAACAGGAGGACCACUGUGACCAAACAAAACCCCGCUGGUAUCAGUGGGGCUUGGCUUAUCUGCAGUGGGCUACCCACACAUAUGCCGACAGGAGAGAAAAGAGCUGAGGGGCAGCCAGCAGGGAACAGAGGCGAUCAUGUACGUUACAUGAGUUGGCUGUGCUAAAGGUGGCCGCGAUGUGGUAGCAUAUGGCAGUCCCAACUGACUUCAGCACCCCAGUGAGCUAGUCACUGCAUGCAUAUAGUAAGAGACAGUCCCGGGCUCAAAGAAUGUAAGAGAAAAUCAUUGCUUGCUGAAGUUAAUGGCAAAACUCCCAUAAACCAGUGGGGUGAGGAUUCAAACUUACAGCUGAAUUAGUCAAGACAGACAAAGAGUGGACGAGAGAAACAGACCUGCAGAGAUCUGAAUCUGAGACCUGCACUCUAUCAUCUAUAUCAAAACAUAACUGUAAUGGAAAAGCAACCACUCCUCAGCAGAAGAACAACCUUUCAAGUAUGCUGUCUCUGGCAGGGGCAGUAAUGAAAGCUUAGGCAAGUUCAGUAAAAAAGCAGCUAUGAAGAGAUCUUUCCUUGGUAUAGCUUUUCAGUUUCUGUAGCUAGAGAUUUGAUGAGUUUUGAAAGCCUCCAGUUCAUCCAGAUCGUGAUCUUUAAAGCAUAGCCUCUCUGCAUGAGCCUAAGCCCUCUCUGGACCCCUAAUACACCUCUGGCCCGGGCACAUCCUGUGGCAGUGCCUUCCAUAAGGGAAUUUAGGCACCUCCGCUGAGAAGAUGAGCUUAAAUGUGCUCAAGGUCACGCGGGCAUCGAUGAACUAGGCUGGGAACUGAACUUCCUGCAUUGUAGGCAUAAUCCUUUUCCUUAACCACAAAGGCAUCCUUUCUUUCAUCUCCGUUUCCAAAGCAAUACUGGCAAAUAAGAACCGGCUCCGUUACAUCCUUUUAAUGGUAGAUCCUUCUAACUGUAUUAAAAGAUGUAAUGCUUUCAAUACCACGGCAUGUUUCACAGCAACAGUUGUUUACAGGUGGGGAUGCAUGCAUAGGAAUUAACUGUCUUGUUCCUGACAGUUCAAUAAUAUUAUUUUUAAAGUAUUUGCCUCAGUUAUAGCUGACAACAGCAUAUCUCAGCUAAAAAAAAAAAAAAAUGUUUCCUUUUCAAUCCUUCCAAAUGUUUCAUGAGUUAAUUUUGU
ensembl:lncRNA